rnacentral:rRNA from 1 species
UACGGAGGGUGCGAGCGUUGUCCGGAAUCACUGGGCGUAAAGGGCGCGUAGGUGGCACGGCAAGCGUGCGGUGAAAGCUCGGGGCUCAACCCCGAGUCGGCCGUGCGAACUGCUGAGCUGGAGCACUGUAGAGGCAGAUGGAAUUCCGGGUGUAGCGGUGGAAUGCGCAGAUAUCAGGAGGAACACCGGUGGCGAAGGCGGGAUCCUGGGCCAGUACUGACGCUGAGGAGCGAAAGCGUGGGGAGCAAACAGG